rnacentral:rRNA from 1 species
CUACGGGGCGCAGCAGUGAGGAAUAUUGCGCAAUGGGGGGAACCCUGAUGCAGCAACGCCGCGUGGAGAAUGACGCAUUUCGGUGUGUAAACUCCUUUUAUAUGUCAAGAAAAUGACGGUAGCAUAUGAAUAAGCACCGGCUAACUUCGUGCCAGCAGCCGCGGUAAUACGGAGGGUGCAAGCGUUACUCGGAAUCACUGGGCGUAAAGGACGCGUAGGCGGGUUGGAAAGUCAGGUGUGAAAUCCUACAGCUUAACUGUAGAACUGCACUUGAAACUUCUAAUCUAGAGUAUGGGAGGGGGAGAUGGAAUUAGUGGUGUAGGGGUAAAAUCCGUAGAUAUCACUAGGAAUACCUAAAGCGAAGGCGAUCUCCUGGAACAUUACUGACGCUAAGGCGUGAAAGCGUGGGGAGCAAACAGGAUUAGAUACCCUAGUAGUC